AGUCAGGAGCCUAUGUUUUUUGACAGGUGAGAUGAGUUCAGUUCAGGAAAACCCCAAGGGUUACCGAUCUAUCUUAGUUCAUGGGCAAUAAGGAUAGCUUUCGGCUGUCCUUUUUAUUUUCAAACAUGAAGAUACACGGAACCGUUUCAUUAUAAUGUAGAAUGCCGAAUCUGAAAAGGAGUGUACGCGUAGCAGCUUGCAGCAGCCAUCGACCCAAGCAAGCUAGUUAAAGACGGAGUGUUUCUAGUCUUGGGACGCCAGUUGUUCAUCGGUGGUGUACUCUUGCCGGCUAUAGGGACCCUCUCUUGGGAUGCUCUUACGAGCUUUGGGCUUCCUGUUCCUGCAUGAUGUGUAACCGUGGUGACAACAGAGAGCACCCACACCCAUCCCUCUCUCCCUUCCCCUGGGCCGCUGCCCCUCCCACACCCCCCUCCCCCUAAAGCAGUCCAAACCUCACCAAGAUGGCAGACAGAAAGGAGCCACCAAUCUAUAAUGAUGACAGCGUGGGGGCCUUCCAGUACAAGUUGCCGUUCUACGAGACCAUGGAGCUGUUCAUCGAAACAUUGACGGGGACCUGCUUCGAGCUGCGCGUCUCGCCCUUUGAGACAGUCAUCUCUGUCAAGGCCAAGAUCCAGAGGCUGGAAGGUAUGGUACAUAACAGUGCAGUAGUCACUCUUACU